GACGAACGCUGGCGGCGUGCUUAACACAUGCAAGUCGAACGGGGAAUUUUGUUUCGGUAGAAUUCCUAGUGGCGAACGGGUGAGUAACGCGUAGGCAACCUGCCCUUCAGACGGGGACAACAUUCCGAAAGGGAUGCUAAUACCGGAUACGAAGCUUCUGCCGCAUGACGGAAGCUUGAAAGGUGCCCUCAAGCACCGCUGAAGGAUGGGCCUGCGUCCGAUUAGCUGGUUGGCGGGGUAACGGCCCACCAAGGCGAUUAUGGGUAGCCGGGUUGAGAGACCGACCGGCCAGAUUGGGACUGAGACACGGCCCAG
rnacentral:rRNA from 1 species